rnacentral:rRNA from 1 species
CCUACGGGAGGCAGCAGUGGGGAAUAUUGCACAAUGGGGGAAACCCUGAUGCAGCGACGCCGCGUGAGUGAAGAAGUAAUUCGUUAUGUAAAGCUCUAUCAGCAGGGAAGAAAAUGACGGUACCUGAGUAAGAAGCCCCGGCUAACUACGUGCCAGCAGCCGCGGGAAUACGGAGGGGGCAAGCGUUAUCCGGAUUUACGGGGUGUAAGGGGAGCGUAGACGGCAGUGCAAGUCUGGAGUGAAUAGCGGGGGCUCAACCCCCGGACUGUUCUUGAAACUGGUCGGCUGGAGUGCAGGAGAGGUAAGUGGAAUUCCGGGUGUAGCGGUGAAAUGCGUAGAUAUCAGGAAGAACACCGGUGGCGAAGGCAGCUUACUGGACUGUAACUGACGUUGAGGCUCGAAAGCGUGGGUAGCAAACAGGAUUAGAUACCCGAGUAGUC